GUGCUGGUUUUGGCAACACAGAUACUAAAACUGGAACGAUACAAAGAUUGGCCUGGCCACUGUGCAAGGAUGACAUACAAACUCAUAAAGCAUUCCAUAUAUUG
ensembl:snRNA U6 U6 spliceosomal RNA